CCUACGGGAGGCAGCAGUGAGGAAUAUUGGUCAAUGGCCGGAAGGCUGAACCAGCCAAGCCGCGUGAAGGACGAAGGUGCCAAGCAUUGUAAACUUCUGUCAGCAGGGAAGAACGGUCACUGUGCUAAUCAGCAGUGAAUUGACGGUACCUGCAAAGGAAGCACCGGCUAACUCCGUGCCAGCAGCCGCGGUAAUACGGAGGGUGCGAGCGUUAAUCGGAAUUACUGGGCGUAAAGCGCUCGUAGGCGGUAUGUCAAGUCAAGGGUGAAAUCCCCGCGCUCAACGUGGGAACUGCCUUUGAAACUGGCAAACUGGAGUGUGUGAGAGGAUAGUGGAAUUCCAGGUGUAGGAGUGAAAUGCGUAGAUAUCUGGAGGAACAUCAGUGGCGAAGGCGACUAUCUGGCACAUAACUGACGCUGAGGAGCGAAAGCGUGGGUAGCAAACAGGAUUAGAUACCCCAGUAGUC
rnacentral:rRNA from 1 species